AGAGGGGAGUUCAUUCAACCAAAAGACCAAUCCUUAACCACGAAUAAGUUUACAGCAAUGAGGAUAGCUUCCUGCGAGCUCCAGAGAAUUUUCUCCUAAACUCACACAAGUUAGCUAGGCAUAAAGCCAGUGUUGACGAAUUGGCUCCUUUGCCUUUCUGCUCUGCAACAUCUUCAUCAAUUAUUUAAUGAAUCACGUGACAUGGGGCAAAUAAGGGAUAAGGGAUGCGGAACCGGUAUCCUUUGAGUUGAAUCUUUUUACCAGUCACAGUAAAUUUGGUGCUUUCUGUAUUAUUGCAAUAAUAACGAACAAAAUCUAUUACACUUAGUAAUAUUGUGAGAUACAAAUAGACAAUUACUGUGUAUUGUUUUAGUAUGUAAGCUAUUACAAAUGCAAAGAAAAAUCAGUAAAGUGUCAAGAAGCUCUUUCAUCAAUUAACAUUUAACAGUAUUUGAAUUAUCUGAAUGUAUGGGAAAAAAUACCUGUCAUGUUACUUCUCGAUUAUCUGCAGUCUGUAAGGAUUCAUGAAUGACACGUGGAGUCCUUUGGUGUCCCCAGAUAGUCUCAUUGGUAUAUGUUUGUUGCUAUAUGAAAAUAAAUGAAAAUAAAGUCAAGUUUAAUUAUGAUAUUAAAAUAUAAACACUACAGAAACA